rnacentral:tRNA from 2 species
GCCGGUAUAGCUCAAUUGGUAGAGCAGAGGACUGAAAAUCUUCGUGUCAACGGUUCAAAUC